GCAGGGGGUACCAGUCUACACUCGACUCCACUGGAACCAUGGCUAAGCUCCUUGCUCUCGCAGUGUUUGUUGCAGCCUUCCUGGCUCAGGUUCUUGCUGAAGAGGCAGUGUCCGUCUCUAAGACUCGGAAGGACGGGGGUCUGUCUCGCUACAUGCUGCUCAUCAACAAGGAGGAGCAGCUGGCGACAGAGCAUGUGUGGGCCGGGCGAGACUCAGCCACUGUCCU